GACGAACGCUGGCGGCGUGCUUAACACAUGCAAGUCGAACGGAAAGGCCCUGCUUGCAGGGUACUCGAGUGGCGAACGGGUGAGUAAUACGUGGGUGAUCUGCCCUGCACUUCGGGAUAAGCCUGGGAAACUGGGUCUAAUACCGGAUAGGAGCCAUUUUUAGUGUGAUGGUUGGAAAGUUUUUUCGGUGUAGGAUGAGCUCGCGGCCUAUCAGCUUGUUGGUGGGGUAAUGGCCUACCAAGGCGGCGACGGGUAGCCGGCCUGAGAGGGUGGACGGCCACAUUGGGACUGAGAUACGGCCCAGACUCCUACGGGAGGCAGCAGUGGGGAAUAUUGCACAAUGGGCGCAAGCCUGAUGCAGCGACGCCGCGUGGGGGAUGACGGCCUUCGGGUUGUAAACUCCUUUCGCUAGGGACGAAGCUUUUUGUGACGGUACCUAGAGAAGAAGCACCGGCUAACUACGUG
rnacentral:rRNA from 1 species